UACGUAGGGUGCGAGCGUUGUCCGGAAUUACUGGGCGUAAAGCGCACGUAGGCGGCUUUGUAAGUUAGAGGUGAAAGCCCAGGGCUCAACCCUGGAAUUGCCUUUAAGACUGCAUCGCUUGAACAUCGGAGAGGUAAGUGGAAUUCCGAGUGUAGAGGUGAAAUUCGUAGAUAUUCGGAAGAACACCAGUGGCGAAGGCGACUUACUGGACGAUUGUUGACGCUGAGGUGCGAAAGCGUGGGGAGCAAACAGG
rnacentral:rRNA from 1 species